rnacentral:rRNA from 1 species
UGCGCAGGCUGUUUUGUAAGUCAGAUGUGAAAUCCCUGGGCUCAACCUAGGAACUGCGUUUGAAACUACAAGACUAGAAUAUGUCAGAGGGGGGUAGAAUUCCACGUGUAGCAGUGAAAUGCGUAGAGAUGUGGAGGAAUACCAAUGGCGAAGGCAGCCCCCUGGGAUAAUAUUGACGCUCAUGCACGAAAGCGUGGGGAGCAAACAGGAUUAGAUACCCCAGUA